rnacentral:lncRNA from 1 species
AGGUACUCUGCACACCGUUUUCUCUCUCUUUAUCUCUAUCCAAGAAAAUCCCAAAUUUUGUUUUACAAGUAAACCCCACUUGAGCUAAACAGUUUUUGAUUAAUCAUGAACUUUUUAAGUGUUUCACCUUGGUUUAGGCCCUUGCCAAACCCCACCAUUCCACUUGAAUCAAGCCCCACAAAUCUCUUUUCUCCUGAACCCAAAAGCCCACCAAAGCUAGAGCAUUCAGCACCCACUCUUGGACCAGUGAGUCUGGAUCUGGCUCAGGCUCAGGCUCAGGAUUUGCCCUCUCAUUUGCCGCCGGAAGAACCCAUCAGAAGGAAAAG